rnacentral:rRNA from 1 species
UUUGGUUAAGUUAGAAAGGGCGCACGGUGGAUGCCUUGACACUAGGAGUCGAUGAAGGACGGGACUAACGCCGAUAUGCUUCGGGGAGCUGUAAGUAAGCUUUGAUCCGAAGAUUUCCGAAUGGGGAAACCCACCAUACGUAAUGGUAUGGUAUCCUUAUCUGAAUACAUAGGGUAAGGAAGACAGACCCAGGGAACUGAAACAUCUAAGUACCUGGAGGAAGAGAAAGCAAAUGCGAUUUCCUGAGUAGCGGCGAGCGAAACGGAACAUAGCCCAAACCAAGAGGCUUGCCUCUUGGGGUUGUAGGACAUUCUAUACGGAGUUACAAAGGAACGAGGUAGACGAAGCGACCUGGAAAGGUCCGUCGUAGAGGGUAACAACCCCGUAGUCGAAACUUCGUUCUCUCUUGAAUGUAUCCUGAGUACGGCGGAACACGUGAAAUUCCGUCGGAAUCUGGGAGGACCAUCUCCCAAGGCUAAAUACUCCCUAGUGAUCGAUAGUGAACCAGUACCGUGAGGGAAAGGUGAAAAGCACCCCGGAAGGGGAGUGAAAGAGAUCCUGAAACCGUGUGCCUACAAAUAGUCAGAGCCCGUUAACGGGUGAUGGCGUGCCUUUUGUAGAAUGAACCGGCGAGUUACGAUCCCGUGCGAGGUUAAGCUGAAGAGGCGGAGCCGCAGCGAAAGCGAGUCUGAAUAGGGCGUUUAGUACGUGGUCGUAGACCCGAAACCAGGUGAUCUACCCAUGUCCAGGGUGAAGUUCAGGUAACACUGAAUGGAGGCCCGAACCCACGCACGUUGAAAAGUGCGGGGAUGAGGUGUGGGUAGCGGAGAAAUUCCAAUCGAACCUGGAGAUAGCUGGUUCUCCCCGAAAUAGCUUUAGGGCUAGCCUUAAGUGUAAGAGUCUUGGAGGUAGAGCACUGAUUGGACUAGGGGUCCUCAUCGGAUUACCGAAUUCAGUCAAACUCCGAAUGCCAAUGACUUAUCCUUAGGAGUCAGACUGCGAGUGAUAAGAUCCGUAGUCAAAAGGGAAACAGCCCAGACCGCCAGCUAAGGUCCCAAAGUGUGUAUUAAGUGGAAAAGGAUGUGGAGUUGCUUAGACAACUAGGAUGUUGGCUUAGAAGCAGCCACCAUUUAAAGAGUGCGUAAUAGCUCACUAGUCGAGUGACUCUGCGCCGAAAAUGUACCGGGGCUAAAUACACCACCGAAGCUGCGGAUUGAUACCAAUGGUAUCAGUGGUAGGGGAGCGUUCUAAGGACAGUGAAGUCAGACCGGAAGGACUGGUGGAGUGCUUAGAAGUGAGAAUGCCGGUAUGAGUAGCGAAAGACGGGUGAGAAUCCCGUCCACCGAAUGCCUAAGGUUUCCUGAGGAAGGCUCGUCCGCUCAGGGUUAGUCAGGACCUAAGCCGAGGCCGACAGGCGUAGGCGAUGGACAACAGGUUGAUAUUCCUGUACCACCUCUUUAUCGUUUGAGCAAUGGAGGGACGCAGAAGGAUAGAAGAAGCGUGCGAUUGGUUGUGCACGUCCAAGCAGUUAGGCUGAUAAGUAGGCAAAUCCGCUUAUCGUGAAGGCUGAGCUGUGAUGGGGAAGCUCCUUAUGGAGCGAAGUCUUUGAUUCCCCGCUGCCAAGAAAAGCUUCUAGCGAGAUAAAAGGUGCCUGUACCGCAAACCGACACAGGUAGGCGAGGAGAGAAUCCUAAGGUGUGCGAGAGAACUCUGGUUAAGGAACUCGGCAAAAUGACCCCGUAACUUCGGGAGAAGGGGUGCUUUCUUAACGGAAAGCCGCAGUGAAUAGGCCCAAGCGACUGUUUAGCAAAAACACAGCUCUCUGCGAAGCCGUAAGGCGAAGUAUAGGGGGUGACACCUGCCCGGUGCUGGAAGGUUAAGGAGAGGGGUUAGCGUAAGCGAAGCUCUGAACUGAAGCCCCAGUAAACGGCGGCCGUAACUAUAACGGUCCUAAGGUAGCGAAAUUCCUUGUCGGGUAAGUUCCGACCCGCACGAAAGGUGUAACGAUUUGGGCACUGUCUCAACCAGAGACUCGGUGAAAUUAUAGUACCUGUGAAGAUGCAGGUUACCCGCGACAGGACGGAAAGACCCCGUGGAGCUUUACUGUAGCCUGAUAUUGAAUUUUGGUACAGUUUGUACAGGAUAGGCGGGAGCCUUUGAAACCGGAGCGCUAGCUUCGGUGGAGGCGCUGGUGGGAUACCGCCCUGACUGUAUUGAAAUUCUAACCUACGGGUCUUAUCGACCCGGGAGACAGUGUCAGGUGGGCAGUUUGACUGGGGCGGUCGCCUCCUAAAGUGUAACGGAGGCGCCCAAAGGUUCCCUCAGAAUGGUUGGAAAUCAUUCGUAGAGUGCAAAGGCAUAAGGGAGCUUGACUGCGAGACUUACAAGUCGAGCAGGGACGAAAGUCGGGCUUAGUGAUCCGGUGGUUCCGCAUGGAAGGGCCAUCGCUCAACGGAUAAAAGCUACCCCGGGGAUAACAGGCUUAUCUCCCCCAAGAGUCCACAUCGACGGGGAGGUUUGGCACCUCGAUGUCGGCUCAUCGCAUCCUGGGGCUGUAGUCGGUCCCAAGGGUUGGGCUGUUCGCCCAUUAAAGCGGUACGCGAGCUGGGUUCAGAACGUCGUGAGACAGUUCGGUCCCUAUCCGUCGUGGGCGUAGGAAAUUUGAGAGGAGCUGUCCUUAGUACGAGAGGACCGGGAUGGACGCACCGCUGGUGUACCAGUUGUUCUGCCAAGGGCAUAGCUGGGUAGCUAUGUGCGGAAGGGAUAAGUGCUGAAAGCAUCUAAGCAUGAAGCCCCCCUCAAGAUGAGAUUUCCCAUAGCGUAAGCUAGUAAGAUCCCUGAAAGAUGAUCAGGUUGAUAGGUUCGAGGUGGAAGCAUGGUGACAUGUGGAGCUGACGAAUACUAAUAGAUCGAGGACUUAACCAUAUAA